AUGAAAUUAUUUCUUGAUGUGAAAUGCCCUGUUUUCAUUUUCCAGAUGCCAAAUGCCUUUUUACAAGCAAAGCCUGCACCAAAUUUGGUCCAACACUUCAGCAUUUUCAUCAUGAUGACGCUGAUCCACUUCCCUGGCACUAAACAGCACUGAUUUUAUUUUUCAGGUACAACUGUACAGAGAUAUGGCAUGAGUUUGUAAAAGCCUAUGUGAACCGGGACCCUUGUAAUAUCCCCAUGAAUGCCUUCGACUCUUUAGUUGCUGUGGCGCCCUUUGAACAUGCAUGCGACAAAAUGAUGUUCUGGAGUAAAACAAAGAAUCUGGUCCGUGACUUAACUAAGAACAGGGAUGAUGUUGUCGCUUUGGAGGACACUCUGCUGGGAUCUGUGCUGGGUGGUCUGCACUGGUGUGGAGAGAAGGGCAACAGUGUUUGCAGAUUUUGCCUGUGAUGAUGUCACAGCAAUGCUAGACGGAUCCAUCGACACACCAUUUGAUCCUGAAAGGUGAGCACCUCUAAUGCUGCCCA